UGCAAGUCGAACGAACCCGCAAGGGUGAGUGGCGGAAGGGUGAGUAACACGUAGGAAUCUACCCCGACGGAGGGAACAACCGAUCGAAAGAUUGGCUAAUACCCAAAAGGGUCCGCAAGGAUCAGAGUCGAAAGGCCUGUCGGGAUGAGCCUGCGGCGCAUCAGCUAGUUGGUGAGGUAAAAGCUUACCAAGGCUACGACGCGUAGGGGGUCUGAGAGGACGUCCCCCCACACUGGAACUGAAACACGGUCCAGACGCCUACGGGUGGCAGCAGUGAGGAAUAUUCGUCAAUGGGGGAAACCCUGAACGAGCAACGCCGCGUGGAGGAUGAAGGCCUUCGGGUCGUAAACUUCUUUUAGGGGAGACGAGAAAGGACGGUAUCCCCGGAAUCAGUCACGGCUAACUACGUGCCAGCAGCCGCGGUAAUACGUAGGUGACGAGCGUUAUCCGGAUUUACUGGGCGUAAAGCGCUUGUAGGUGGUGCCGUAAGUUGGGCGUGAAAUCCCCGGGCUUAACCCGGAGAGGCCGUCCAAUACUGCGGUGCUAGAGGAUGUCAGAGGAAGGUGGAAUUCCUGGUGUAGUAGUGAAAUGCGUAGAUAUCAGGAGGAACACCCGUGGCGAAGGCGACCUU
rnacentral:rRNA from 1 species